rnacentral:rRNA from 1 species
UGGGGAAUCUUAGACAAUGGGGGAAACCCUGAUCUAGCCAUGCCGCGUGAUCGAUGAAGGCCUUAGGGUUGUAAAGAUCUUUCAGAUGGGAAGAUAAUGACGGUACCAUCAGAAGAAGCCCCGGCUAACUCCGUGCCAGCAGCCGCGGUAAUACGGAGGGGGCUAGCGUUAUUCGGAAUUACUGGGCGUAAAGCGCACGUAGGCGGAUCAGAAAGUCAGCGGUGAAAUCCCAGGGCUCAACCUUGGAACUGCCUUUGAAACUUCUGGUCUUGAGGUCGAGAGAGGUGAGGGGAAUUCCGAGUGUAGAGGUGAAAUUCGUAGAUAUUCGGAGGAACACCAGUGGCGAAGGCGGCUCACUGGCUCGAUACUGACGCUGAGGUGCGAAAGCGUGGGGAGCAAACA